rnacentral:rRNA from 1 species
CAGUAGCCGCGGGAAUACGUAGGUGGCAAGCGUUGUCCGGAAUUAUUGGGCGUAAAGGGCUCGCAGGCGGUUUCUUAAGUCUGAUGUGAAAGCCCCCGGCUCAACCGGGGAGGGUCAUUGGAAACUGGGAAACUUGAGUGCAGAAGAGGAGAGUGGAAUUCCACGUGUAGCGGUGAAAUGCGUAGAGAUGUGGAGGAACACCAGUGGCGAAGGCGACUCUCUGGUCUGUAACUGACGCUGAGGAGCGAAAGCGUGGGGAGCAAAUGGGAUUAGAUACCCGAGUAGUCCCUGUCUCUUAUAC